rnacentral:misc_RNA from 1 species
CAGAGUUCAUGCCCACUAACUCCACCCUUUGUUUACAUACCAUUGUUGCUUUGGCAGGCCCGUCGCAAGACAACCGGCUUCGGCUGGUCAGCGCCUGCCAGAGGACCUAAAACUCUUGUUUAAUCAUAUUGUCUGAGUACUAUAUAAUAGUUA